rnacentral:rRNA from 1 species
GUGGCGAACGGGUGAGUAACACGUGAGCAAUCUGCCCUUGACUCUGGGAUAACUGCGGGAAACUGUAGCUAAUACCGGAUACUUUCCUCGCUGGGCAUCCAGCGGGGAAGAAAGAAUUUCGGUCAAGGAUGAGCUCGCGGCCUAUCAGCUAGUUGGUGAGGUAAAGGCUCACCAAGGCGACGACGGGUAGCCGGCCUGAGAGGGUGACCGGCCACACUGGAACUGAGACACGGUCCAGACUCCUGCGGGAGGCAGCAGUGGGGAAUAUUGCACAAUGGGCGAAAGCCUGAUGCAGCAACGCCGCGUGAGGGAUGAAGGCCUUCGGGUUGUAAACCUCUUUUAGCAGGGAAGAAGCGAAAGUGACGGUACCUGCAGAAAAAGCACCGGCUAACUACGUGCCAGCAGCCGCGGUAAUACGUAGGGUGCAAGCGUUGUCCGGAAUUAUUGGGCGUAAAGAGCUCGUAGGCGGUUUGUCACGUCUGCUGUGAAAAUCCGAGGCUCAACCUCGGACUUGCAGUGGGUACGGGCAGGCUAGAGUGCGGUAGGGGAGAAGGGAAUUCCUGGUGUAGCGGUGGAAUGCGCAGAUAUCAGGAGGAACACCAAUGGCGAAGGCACUUCUCUGGGCCGUAACUGACGCUGAGGAGCGAAAGCGUGGGGAGCGAACAGGAUUAGAUACCCUGGUAGUCCAC